rnacentral:rRNA from 1 species
UACGUAGGUGGCAAGCGUUGUCCGGAUUUACUGGGCGUAAAGAGCGCGCAGGCGGUCGUGCAAGUCGCGUGUGAAAGCCCCCGGCUCAACUGGGGAGGGUCACGCGAUACUGCUCGACUUGAAGGCAGGAGAGGGAAGUGGAAUUCCCGGUGUAGUGGUGAAAUGCGUAGAUAUUCGCAAGAACACCAGUGGCGAAGGCGGCUCACUGGCCCGGUACUGACGCUGAGGUGCGAAAGCGUGGGGAGCAAACAGG